AACGAACGCUGGCGGCAGGCUUAACACAUGCAAGUCGAACGCUCCUUUCGGGGGGAGUGGCAGACGGGUGAGUAACGCGUGGGAACGUGCCCUUCAGUUCGGGAUAACCCAGGGAAACUUGGGCUAAUACCGGAUACGUGCGAGAGCAGAAAGAUUUAUCGCUGAAGGAUCGGCCCGCGUCUGAUUAGCUAGUUGGUGGGGUAAUGGCCCACCAAGGCGACGAUCAGUAGCUGGUCUGAGAGGAUGAUCAGCCACAUUGGGACUGAGUCACGGCCCAAACGCCUACGGGAGGCAGCAGUGGGGAAUAUUGGACAAUGGGCGCAAGCCUGAUCCAGCCAUGCCGCGUGAGUGAUGAAGGCCUUAGGGUUGUAAAGCUCUUUCGUCCGGGACGAUAAUGACGGUACCGGAAGAAGAAGCCCCGGCUAACUUCGUGCCAGCAGCCGCCGUAAUAC
rnacentral:rRNA from 1 species